rnacentral:rRNA from 1 species
CGGCGGACGGGUGAGUAAUGUUGGGAAACUGCCUGAUGGAGGGGGACUAACUACUGGCAAACGGCUAGCUAAUACCGCAUAACGCUCGCAAGACCCACACGACGGGGGACCUUCGGCGCCUCUUGCCACUCAGAUGUGCCCACGAUGGGAUUACGCUAGUACGUGGGGUAACGGCUCACCUAGGCGACGAUCCCUAGCUGGUCUGAGAGGAUGACCAGCACACUGGAACUGAGACACGGUCCAGACUCCUACGGGAGGCAGCAGUGGGGAAUAUUGCACAAUGGGCGCAACGCCUGAUGCAGCCAUGCCGCGUGUAUGAAGAAGGCCUUCGGGUUGUAAAGUACUUUCAGCGGGGAGGAAGGUGUGUGGCUAAUAACCACAGCAAUUGACGUUACCCGCAGAAGAAGCACCGGCUAACUCCGUGCCAAGCAGCCGCGGUAAUACGGAGGGUGCAAGCGUUUAAUCGGGAAUAACUGGGCGUAAAGGGCAUCGCAGGCGGUCUGUACAAAGGGUCGGGGAAUUGGUGGACAAAUCCCCCCCGGGGGUCUUCAAACCCAUGGGGGAAAACUUGGAAUUUCCGAAAAACCAUGGGGACAGAGG